GGGGGGAGGCUGGAUCCUGGGCUGUGUCCCGGCGCCCUGUGCUCCGGGGCCUGCGCUGUUGAAUUCGCGCUCCCGCCCCGCAGCCCCCU
rnacentral:pre_miRNA from 1 species